UACGUAGGGGGCUAGCGUUGUCCGGAAUCAUUGGGCGUAAAGAGCGUGUAGGCGGCCCGGUAAGUCGGGUGUGAAAUCUCGGAGCUUAACUCCGAAACUGCAUUCGAUACUGCCGUGCUUGAGGACUGGAGAGGAGACUGGAAUUUACGGUGUAGCGGUGAAAUGCGUAGAUAUCGUAAGGAAGACCAGUGGCGAAGGCGGGUCUCUGGACAGUUCCUGACGCUGAGGCACGAAGGUCAGGGGAGCAAACGGG
rnacentral:rRNA from 1 species